GUGUCAGACCGGGGGGGUUCUGGAGGAAGCUGCGCUAGCUGUGGCAGCUGCCUCAGUCACGUCUGUCAUUUUGGGUUUCUGUUUUCAACAACAUGGCUGACGUAGCAGGAAAAGACCGUGGAAAGGGCCAUAGCAGAUCCAAGGUUGCAGAGGUUUUGUGUGUGUUGUCACUGGAUGCCUGAAGAAAAUGGCAGAGAGAAAGGACCGUUCCAGGGAACUGGUUGCUUUGUGCCCCAGCUGAAGGAAAAGAGGGAAGGAAGUCACUGCACAUUCCUGUUGCCUGAGGAGAACCUUGGCCAGUCUCUGCUGAGCUCAUACUACUUGGGUAUGAAAGUUCCUAAGAGAAGAGGAGAAGAUCUCUCUGUCCACCACCUCUGGAACUACACUGACCUGAUCUCCAAAAAGUGUAAAAAUAACAGUGCUAUUCUUUUGAGGGAGAAGUAUGAUAGAAGACUCAAAUAACCUUGUAGCACUUACCUGAAUAUUGCCCUGAGGGAAGUUGAGUGCUGGAUGGGACAAAUUGCUAGAGAAGAGGCAAAGAAGAGGAACAAAUGUUGAGAAAUAAAGGCUCACAUUCCUGACUGCUAGGGUAUUGGGGAACCUUCUACUAGAGCAAGGAAGGCAGUGAAGCUUGAACUAAAGAUCUGAAGCACUUUGCUGUGUCAUCUAUCUUCAUUGUCCCUUCUGGGAGCCACAGAAAUGGUACACACCCCAUCUGGGAACCAAAAACACCUAGCAAGUGCAGCCUGAAUGAGGGCUUGAAAUGCUCUGCCAUUUCAUUUAUCUUCUCCGUCCCUCCUGGCAACCAGAGAAACAGUGGCUGAAGGCACACCCCACCCAGAAACCAGAGACAGCAAGUGCUGUACCCUGAGCAGAAGCCUGAAAGCAAGCCAUUCCAUUCAUCCCCUGCUUCCUGUCUGCAGCACUGUACCUGGCACAGGAGUCACUUAGAAUAUGCAAACUAGGAGGAUGGAACUUCCAGAAAUUCUCACAGAGAAAAUAUAAGGUGACAGAAGCAUACAUCCGAACACCCAAACUGACCUUCUGUGGAUGAGAUAUUCCCCUAACUUUCAUUGAUAUCCCCACUGGUUUUUAAACUCACCCAUGUAAGUUGGAUUAUUUGACCCGAGAUACUCUUUCAGAGUUGAUUGUGUCAGUUAUUAGAGGUUGCCAGUCCUUGGGUCUGGAGUGGUGGGGAGUUGUGAGAAGCCAUUUGGUGACUGUCAACAUCACUAUGUUAUUCCUGUCUAUCCCUAUGUAUUGGAUUGGUUCCAAUUGGACCUUAACCAAAAUUAAACGAAAUAUGUGCUUAGGCUCUUUGGUGUUUCUAAAAUCCACUUUUUUUUUUUUCUCAUGCUUUAUUCCAACCACUAAAUAAACAUUCCUUCUUUUGUGGGAGCUGCUUGUCAGUAUUAGAAGAAAAACAGGUGCCUGAAACCAGUCAGAUCUACAGGAUGAUAGGCAUUAGUACAUACAAGAUAACACUUGCCUCCUAACAAAAAGUAAAAGAAGAGCAAGAUUGCACACAAACACAAGCCUAGGAUCAGACAAGUCAGGAGCCAUAGGUGAUGUCAGUCUUGUAACACUGAAAACAAAAUGUCAGGAUUCUGGUAAAAAAUAAUGGUGAUUCCACUGUCUGCUCUGAAACUUAGAACUCUACAAAAAAAAUUAAAUAAAAUCCUUUUGAGUUUAUUUCCUUUUGAAUACAGUACAUUCUUUGCCCAACAGUAAAGUAGUAAAAUUAUAUUUGCUGACAUUUAGAAGCUUCUUUAUAAAACUUUGACCCUUGGAAGUCAGUGAGAUUUUUAUCACCUGACUUAUGGAAUAAAAAAAUGUUAAAAAAAAAAAAAUCUGUUUCCUUUUACUACAUAAAACUUACCAACAAUUUCCUUCAGUACAUUCCAAGUGCACUCAAGAGCUACCAAGUAAAUAGGAUUUGGAGUAGACCCUGGGCCCUCAGCUUCUCCUGUUUCAUGCAGAAGCAGGAAAAUUUCUUCUGUGACACCAUCUUCAGUUUUCUUGAUGUGUUCCACAUGACAAAUUCUUUGAAUACAGACUGGAAGAUGAACAGCCACUGUUCUCUGGUCCGGACUUAGACACUUUCAAUAGAAAUAAAACAGACUUGUGAUACUUUUGUAAUAUAUUUUUGAUGGUCGACAAGUCUUUUUCCUUGCAAUUCUGCAAAGCUGUUAAUAAGGACAUUCCAUUGGGAACUGGCAGUGUUCCAGCCUUUGUAGUUGUAGAAAAUCCAUAUACAAAAUAAUAUUUGGUAGUUCUGAGGUCUUUUACAGGUAUUACUCUUAAGUCUUUGUCUCAUGUGAACUUUGAACUAGCUCACUCAGGUUAAUUAAAGCAGCCUUUGUAGGUAAAAUUACACCAACAAUUGCAGUACUGUUAUUCAAAUUUUCAAAAAUAUACUUCUUCUCCAGUGUGUGUAUUAUGUUGAAAGCUCAUAAUACUAUGAUGUCAUAUGUAAAGAUAGUAUCUCCUACACUCACUUGGGAUGACCUGUAUAACUAACUCAUAACCAUGCUAUUUGUAAGCAAUGGAAUCAUCCCAUAUUUAUUUUAUGAAAAUCUUUAUACUGUGUAGUAUUUAUGCAUGCCUAUGCUGAUCUGAGAUUGUCUUUGGGGAGUGCAUUACGUGUUAUGUUAUACUGUUUUUAUUAUAAGCAAUACAGGUAGUAAUGCCUACAGUUAAUGUUGCUUGACACUUUCUAGUAUAAGAUAUUUUUAUGUUGUUAUCUAUCUUCACUGAAUUUAAGCCAUUUGGACUACAAUACUUCAGUUUGGAUACAUGCCUCUUGAUGAAUUCUUUAAAGGAAUAUUUUACCUAAAAAGGUUCUGCCUGGGGCUUAUCCCCAGAACAAUAUUCAUGAAAAGUAUGCUCCUCUUUGAAUAGCUUUUGUAGCUUCUCAUUAUUGGGUUGUGCCAACAGUACAGCUUGAUAGAGGCUUAACUCUUUGUGCAAGUACUCACUGGAGUGUCCUCAUAUCUUGUUUGCUUACUUGUUUUCCUUCCUGCUACACAGUGAUCUAAUGGCAAAGAAUAAAAGGUAGAUAUAAGGAACACAGUUCCUUCGAAGUACAGAAGUGAUCGGUUGUUGAAUUUCAUUGAGUCAAGGUGACAUAAAUACACAAACACGGUUGGCAUGUAAUUAGUUUAUUGGUUUGAUUAGACGUGGAUUUGGACCUUUUUUAAAAGAAAAAUUAAUAUAUUGCUGCAACAUAAAAGUUGUUAUUGCCAAAAUAAAAAAUGAAUACUUUGCCUGUGUUAAUUCUUGACCUUCUAGAGAAAAAUCAUUCCUCAUUGUAUUGCUGUAGAAAGACUGAUAGACAUGCAUCCAUGCCCCCCUUCUAAUGCAGUCUUCUUGUGAGGACAGUUAACACAGUCCAAGGUGACAUAGAGGCUUGAUGGCAAAACAAAGUGUUUACCAGUGAAUUACCCUUGUCUAUUGACAGCAAAACUUGAAUAAUGAUACCAAAAGAUCCCCAGCUACCAGCUGCUACUAAUUAACAGAACAAAUCCAGUAGAAUUCAACCUAUCCUAAUAGAGGCAAACUUCUGGAACUAGGCCUUUUGUUCCAUUGACACCAAUCUAAACAACAAGGCUAUUGACUGCAUGCAUGUGCCAGCUUUUGUUAGUGGGGGCUACCUGAAAAGAUGAAAAUUGCAUGAAUCUGCAAUUUCAGAUUCAUUAAUUCUCAGCUGAAAAAACUCCAUCUGUGAACUGACAUGAGAGGAGUGGUCAAGGUGCAUUAAGAUUCCAUGUAAAAGGAUCAUAUUGUCAGUCUAGCCCUAGGAAAUGAAAUAAAUUUUGUUUCCAGUGGCAAUACUAAAUAGGUCUCAAGAAACCACAGCACAGUUUUGAUCUUUAGGAUCACCAUGGCUAUUGCUAAAGGUCAUUAAUUUAUCUAUGGAUCACCAGUCAGAUCAGUAAGCCUUAUGGACAAUUUCAGAUAAGGAAAAAAAUGAAAGGCAUUCAAAUAACUUCCUUUUCUACUUUAUCGCAUUUUUGCUAAGAUAUAUGCUGACAGGAACACAAUUCCUCAGAAAGGAAUUGUUCAGGAACCAGCACCAAGAAACCACAUAACUUCUCCCAGUAAAGAUUCCUUACCAUUUUCACCCCUUCCUUUACAGAAGACAACAUUGUUUUACUUCAGACUACAUUGAAUUCACAGUCAAAUUUAUGUCACAGUCGAAGUCUAAUGUUGAAUCAAGUAAGACACUUUCCCCUCCCUGUACUGGCAGGUUUUUGUUUGUUUGUUUGGUUGGUUGGUUAGUUUUGUUGUUGUUGUUGUUAAAACAGUAUUUCUAGCACUAAUCCUAACUGAUGAGCAUCAUAUUCUUAUAUAUGGCAACGAUUUUUGUGAGUUGUAAUGAUAGAGCAAGGCUACACUACGAUGGACCAGAUAGGUCUACUUUAUUGUGAUUACAGAAAGUCUAAGUUUAAUCCAUUGUCCAGAAAGCCUUCCCAUAGACAGUCAAGGGAAAUCAAGUAAUAGAUACCACACUUUCAUGUAGGUUGCUCCAAAAGUAAUGUCUUGUAUUUAUUUCCAUGGAAACUAGAACAGAUACAAAGAAAUUUGAUAGAGCAAAUUCUCAGCUACAAAACACUAUUUUUUCAGUGUAGUCUCCACUAUCAGCUAUGCAUUUUUGCCAGCAAUGAAGAGGAGCCUGCAUACUGUGCUCAUAAAAAUCUGCACCAGUGGAGAUGACCUACAGUCAUUGUCGUCAGUGCUGAAAGGCACCACCCACUGCCUCACUGUGCUCACAUCCACUGUUUGGUCUCCAGGAACAUUCAGCAAGUGUUGAUGAAUGUCAGUGGGUACAAUUUUUUCCGCAUGGAGGAAUUCAAUCACACAUCUUUGUUUCAUCCAUGCUUCCAUAUCAGAUACCAUUUUGCCAGACUGCCCCUCUGCUGCCUUCUGUCCCACAGCAUCAACAUGUAGUGGAAUAUUGGUGGGAAGGUUCCAUCUCUACUACUGUACCGCCAACGUCCGCCUCUGAUCCGAUGGGCGAACAUAAUAAAAUUUCUUUCAGAGCAGCCAUCAUAGAUCUAUAUUCCCAGUAUUGAGGAGAAGCAAAGAAGCAGGUGAUUAGACUUAAGAAGAUGAUCCCAUUCCUGGUUGUUUCUACAUUAUCUUCUUCAGACAGUGUGUUGCUUCUCUAUGAGCUGGAGGAAAGAAUGAUCUGUGCCUCUCUCUCAGCAGCUGUUGCUGAGACAUCACACUAUACUUGAUAUUCUGAGAUCACCAUGUUAAAUUACUCUUCUGGUCAUGGGAAAAUACGGAAUUGAAAGUCGAAACUGAAAUAUAUAUACAUAUAAAUAAAUAUAUACGUAUAUAUCCUUGGCCCAUUUCAAUCUGCAAAAAAUUCAUCUGUUAGAUCAAAAAGUUCACAUUAUUUAUUCUUGAUGAUGCAUUUCUAUUACUAUAGGAGAUAGCUUUCCUCUGCAUUUUCCAGUUUUCCUUUCUAUAAGAAAAAAAGAUGGUCAGGCUUUUUUUUUCCAAUCUAAAAGAAAGUUGGUCUUCUAAAACUAUCCAAAGGAAUAGUCUGUUCUUUCUUGAUAUCUGUAAAUAUCCUUAUCAUAGAGAACAACUUAUAACCUGGGAAAAUAAAUAAAUAAAUAAAUCUCUACAAACAGCUAUCAAUGUGUCCUGCAUGAGCUGUAUUGGAAUAUCUACUUCAAUAUCUGUAGGGUUCUCUGUAUUCACUAUGAAAGCACAUAAUUUUAGCUGCCUCUAUUAUUCACACAUUAAUGACUUUAAAACUGUAUUUAGUCAUGAGAAGAUAAAUUACAGAUUCCAGAGAAAAUGAAAGAAUUAGUAUCUUUUAGACAUGGAAUCUACAUUUACAUCAGUUCUCAACCUACUACUUUCUUAGCUUAUGGCGUCUAUUUUCAAACAUUUAAGAGGACAUUCUCUAAUUUAAUUUUUGGUUGAUAUGGUCUACAUAAUGAUCAUUAUUUUGACUACGAGAAUGAGCACAUUUUUACAGCUUAUCAUUCAUUUAAAGAGUUCUACAAGGAUGAAAUUAUUCUUCAGCUUCAUUCUAUGCUCUCUUACCAGCUCAAUUAUUAAUCCAGAAUUUUGUUUUCACAGUUGUUUUACAAAACAGUUCUCAUCCACACCAAGAAAAGGAAGUGAUGUUCCAGUGAUAAGUCAGCACCAGUUUGAAUAGAAUCAAGGCAUUCAGUGAAGUGGCUAUUUUUUUUUUCUCUCUGAUGUCAAUAUCAGUGUCUAGGGUCUGUUGGUGACCAAUGGAGUAAGCUGAAAGGGACAACAAUGUGAUCACACAAUAUAAUCCCUCUUCUAGCUUUGCACUUUGGGGGUUUUAAAGAUAUUUUUUUUUGAAAGUUAGAUAAUACCUGUAUAUAUGCCUCCAAAACCUGUCAUCAGGGGCGUGUAGCAGACAGAUAUACCAGGGAUGUGAAGAGAUUUUAGUCUCAUCUUCAUUACUAUUGGCUGUAUGGUUCACAUAAGGCUGUCUGUCCCUCUGUAAUGAUGGAAGCUGUUUUAUUUAAGAUUCCAGAGUCAUGCGUUGCAGAACUAGAAAGGCAGGUGGUGACAGUGGCAGAGA